UACGGAGGGGGGCUAGCGUUGUUCGGAAUUACUGGGCGUAAAGCGCACGUAGGCGGCUUUGUAAGUUAGAGGUGAAAGCCCGGGGCUCAACUCCGGAAUUGCCUUUAAGACUGCAUCGCUAGAAUUGUGGAGAGGUAAGUGGAAUUCCGAGUGUAGAGGUGAAAUUCGUAGAUAUUCGGAAGAACACCAGUGGCGAAGGCGACUCACUGGACACGUAUUGACGCUGAGGUGCGAAAGCGUGGGGAGCAAACAGG
rnacentral:rRNA from 1 species